rnacentral:rRNA from 1 species
GGCUUGUUGAUUAUAAUUUUAAGUCUGGCCUGCCCAAUGAGGAGUUUAAUGGCUGCAGUAUUUUAACUGUACAAAGGUAGCAUAAUCAUUUGUUUUUUAAUUGAAAGCUUGAAUGAAAGGUUGGAUGAGAAAAUUUCUGUCUCUAAAGGAAUUAAUUAGAAUUUUAUUUUUAAGUGAAAAAGCUUAAAUAUAAGUAGAAGACGAGAAGACCCUAUAGAGUUUUAUAUUUAUAAAAAUAUUUAAAUUAUAGGUAUAAAAGGUUUACUAUUUUUAUAAGUAUUUUGUUGGGGUGAUAAGAAAAUUUAAUAAACUUUUUUCUAUAAAAUCAUUAAUUUAUGUUUAAAUGAUCCUGAUUAUUCAGAUUUAAAGAUUUAAUUACCUUAGGGAUAACAGCGUAAUUUUUUCUAGAGUUCUUAUCGAAGAAAAAGGUUGCGACCUCGAUGUUGGAUUAAAAUUUGUUGCUGGUGAAGAAGCUAGUUAAUUAGGUCUGUUCGACCUAUAAAAUUUUACAUGAUCUGAGUUUAAACCGGUGUGAG